ensembl:lncRNA
UUUGCGAAGAGAAAACGCGUGAUUUUCGGGUUAAAUGGAAGAUUUCUGAAGAGAAAACGCGUGAUUUUUGCUUAAAUGGCGGAUUUGUGAAGAGAAAACGCGUGUUUUUCGCUUAAAUGGGGGAUUUCUGAAGAGAAAACGCGUGAUUUUCGGGUUAAAUGGGAAAUUUUCGAAGAGAAAACACGUGUUUUCCACAUAAAUGGGGGAUUUGCGAAGAGAAAACACGUGAUUUUCAGGUUUAAUGGAAGAUUCAUGAAGAGAAAACGCGUGAUUUUCAAGUUAAAUGGGGGAUGUCCGAAGAGAAAACGCGUGAUUUUCGCU